AGCUUAGAGUACUAUGUUCUAAGUGCUUUCUGCCCAGUGAUAAACUUUAACGGCCGCAGUACCUUGACUGUGCUAAGGUAGCAUAAUAAUUUGGCUUUUAAUUAAGGUCUAGUAUGAAAGGGAAUAGGGAGAUAUGCUGUUUCUAAUAAACUUUAUAAAACUUAAUAAAAAGGUGAAAAUGCCUUUAUUUUGAAGGAGGACGAGAAGACCCUAAGAAUUUUCAACUACUACAAACUUUGGGAGUGGUUUUUUGUUGGGGUGACAGGUUAAAUGGGUUAACUUAACAACAAGUAUAUGAAAUUUUUUUGAGUGAUAAAAUUACCUUAGGGAUAACAGCAUAAUUUAAAAUUUUAGAUUGUGACCUCGAUGUUGGACUAGGGAGUAUUUGGUUAGACGCUAAAAUAAGUAGUUCUGUUCGAACUUUGUACCCU
rnacentral:rRNA from 1 species